GUAACUUUUACUUUUAGAAUUGAAGUUAGAAAUAUCCUUUAAAGUUCAUCUGGACCUGCUCAGAGUUCUAAAGCAGUGACAAGAUGGUCUUGUACCAGUGAAGAUCUGUACCAGUGGCAAUAGCCUGUUUCCUCCCAAAAUCCUUCAGUAUAAGACUGUAAAGAGCAUUAGUAGAAAGAAGAAUACCUAAUUUCUACUCGCUGAUGUAAUCUUCAUCUUCAUGUGAAGAGCACAAAGAUGACUUCGUGUUGCCACAAGAGUGUUCCCAUCACAUCUCUCAAGGGAUGAUAAAGGUCAGUUGUACUCACCCCGAUUUAUAUUAUUUUUGGCUUCCUCCAUAAACCAAAACUGAAACACUAUUGAUGUGGUAUUAUAAAAGAAAAUACAUACACUCGGGAAAAUAUUAGCAAAUUGGAAAUUCCCAACAUAUUGCAAUAUGUUUAAAAGCCUCACUAGAGACUCAUCUGGCAUUCAUGUUGUUAUGAUUUGCUUUCAUGUUCUUGUUUUCUAUUCAUCUUCUAUUGAUCAAUUGGCAUUUCCCAGUCAUUGAAAGGCCUUGUUCCUGCUCCUGCUCGAAGCAUGAGAAGAAAGCAAACAGCAAUUUACCGUUCUUCUUGUUCUUCUACCUAUUAGAAGGUAAACCGGGCCAGACCUUGGCGCCAUAGAAGAGAGUCUCCUUUAAAAACUGUCAGGAGUUUCCCUGACAAAUGAACACUUGCAAUCGGAUCUCCCUGCUUUAGUAAUAGUGAGUCCAGAUGGCUGCUUCUAGAGGAAGCAAGAAUUUCCGGCUCCACAAUGGUGUGGUCACGGAGCCCUUCCCCCA
rnacentral:lncRNA from 13 species